rnacentral:rRNA from 1 species
AGCAGUCGCCGCGGUAAGACAGAGGAUGCAAGCGUUAUCCGGAAUGAUUGGGCGUAAAGCGUCUGUAGGUGGCUUUUCAAGUCCGCCGUCAAAUCCCCGGGCUCAACCUGGGAACUGCAUUUGUGACUGUAUAGCUAGAGUACGGCAGAGGGGGAUGGAAUUCCGCGUGUAGCAGUGAAAUGCGUAGAUAUGCGGAGGAACACCGAUGGCGAAGGCAAUCCCCUGGGCCUGUACUGACGCUCAUGCACGAAAGCGUGGGGAGCAAACAGGAUUAGAUACCCCUGUAGUCCCUGUCUCUUAUAC